rnacentral:rRNA from 1 species
GACGGCCAGAGCGGCGGGGAUACACCCGGUCCCAUCUGAACCCGGAAGUUAAGCCCGCCUGCGUUUCAUGUUGUACUGCGGUGCGCGAGCCCGCGGGAACCAUGAGACGCUGU